rnacentral:rRNA from 1 species
GUCUACGGCCAUACCACCCUGAACGCGCCCAAUCUCGUCUGAUCUCGGAAGCUAAGCAGGGUCGGGCCUGGUUAGUACUUGGAUGGGAGAAAAACUUUACCAACUAUAGUAGAGGAAAGGAAAUGUUCUAAUCU